rnacentral:rRNA from 1 species
GGAUAACCUGCCCUAUUGUCUGGAAUAACCUCGGGAAACUGAGAACAAGGCCGGAUAACCCACAAUGCCUGGAACGGUUUGUGGGUGAAGAUAGGAUGGGUCUGCGGCGUAUCAGGUCGUAGGGGGUGUAAUGGACCUCCUAGCCAUCGACGCGUACGGGUGUUGGGAGACAUAGCCCGGAGAUGGAUUCUGAGACACGAAUCCAGACCCUACGGGGUGCAGCAGGCGCGAAAACUUCACACUGCGGGAAACUGUGAUGAGGGAACUCCAAGUGCAUCCACUAUGUGGAUGCUUUUUUUGACUAUUAAUCGGUCAACGAAUAAGGGCUGGGAAAGACCGGUGCCAGCCGCCGCGGUAAUACCGGCAGCUCAAGUGGUCGUCGCUUUUAUUGGGCCUAAAACGUCCGUAGCCUGUUUGGUAAAUCUGUGGGUAAAUCAACCAGCUUAACUGGUUGAAUUCUGCAGAGACUGCCAGACUAGGGACCGGGAGAGGUGUGGGGUACUCUAGGGGUAGGGGUAAAAUCCUGUCAUCCUUAGAGGACCACCAGUUGCGAAGGCGCCACACUGGAACGGAUCCGACGGUCAGGGACGAAGCCUAGGGGCACGAACCGGAUUAGAUACCCGGGUAGUCCUAGGUGUAAACGCUGUGAACUUGGUGUCGGGGAUCCGCAAUGGGUCCUCGGUGCCGGAGUGAAGAUGUUAAGUUCACUGCCUGGGGAGUACGGUCGCAAGGCUGGAACUU